GGAGAGACAUGUUUAAUGAGGCAGAAGCUCUUGACAACCCCAGAGAACCACACUGGAGGGGUUCUUUGUCAACCUUGGCUUGAUGCUGUUGAGGAAAUAGACAGCGAGUUACCUAGAAAAACCUGAGAUGGGGAAUCCUUUGGUGCCUAAUGUUUUGUUUCAGGUUUACGUUAUGAGACCCUAAGUGUGUAGAGAGAGUCUAGACCAGAAAAAAAGAUGGUGUUAAUAAUCUUGGCUCCCACCUCCACACAAUUCAGUAAAACAGAAGAACCUCGAGAGCAGUGUCCAGCACACAGUAGGCAUUUAAUAAAUGCACAGUGAGUGAUUGAUUCUGGCAAACUCUUAGUCGUCAUUCAUCCUGCCAACCCGGGCCAAAAAACUAC